GUACACUCCUGCGGGAGGCAACAGUGGGGAAUAUUGGACAAUGGGCGCAAGCCUGAUCCAGCCAUGCCGCGUGAGUGAUGAAGGCCCCAGGGUUGUAAAGCUCUUUCACCGGUGAAGAUAAUGACGGUAACCGGAGAAGAAGCCCCGGCUAACUUCGUGCCAGCAGCCGCGGUAAUACGAAGGGGGCUAGCGUUGUUCGGAUUUACUGGGCGUAAAGCGCACGUAGGCGGACUAUUAAGUCAGGGGUGAAAUCCCGGGGCUCAACCCCGGAACUGCCUUUGAUACUGGUAGUCUUGAGUUCGAGAGAGGUGAGUGGAAUUCCGAGUGUAGAGGUGAAAUUCGUAGAUAUUCGGAGGAACACCAGUGGCGAAGGCGGCUCACUGGCUCGAUACUGACGCUGAGGUGCGAAAGCGUGGGGAGCAAACAGGAUUAGAAACCCCAGUAGUCCCAUGA
rnacentral:rRNA from 1 species